rnacentral:rRNA from 1 species
AUGGUGGUGGCAUGGCGUGGCUCUCCAGUGGCCAACUCCAUUAAUAUUUCUUUCUUCUGCCCCUCCCCUAUCCCUGUCAUGGCCUGCAUCGGGGUCUCUGCCAUCGCCGGAUCCCGGCAUCCCCGACCCUGCAGGACGGAUAGCAGCGUUAAUGAACCGUCCCCCUGCAUGAAGUGUUGUCUGUUCACUUGCGGAGACCAGAGUGUGUUGAUGCAGUUCAUUGAGGGUGAGCCCUCACGGUCUCCGGCAUGUGUCAUGCAGUGCGGUGCACGCGUUCGUGUAGUCCAGUGGCAGUGCCGAUGUAAGAAGUGCGGUGAGCUCCUUGCCAUUGUCGCGGGCUCCUCAAUGACGCUGGAGUGGAUGGAUUACGGGUCCAGGUUGUCAACGGCUCCGGUUGCCCAGGGCGAGGGGGCCCUCUUUGCAGCUCAUUGA